GCCCGGUUAGCUCAAUCGGUAGAGCGUGAGACUCUUAAUCUCAAGGUUGCGGGUAAGUUACUCCUCACUACUCGAGGUUCUACCACAUUAUAUACUAACAUCACCUCAAAGGUUCGACCCCCGCAUCGGGCU